rnacentral:rRNA from 1 species
UACGUAGGGGGCGAGCGUUGUCCGGAUUUAUUGGGCGUAAAGAGCGUGUAGGCGGCCAGGUAGGUCUGCUGUGAAAACUCGAGGCUCAACCUCGAGACGUCGGCGGAAACCAUCUGGCUAGAGUCCGGAAGAGGAGAGUGGAAUUCCUGGUGUAGCGGUGAAAUGCGCAGAUAUCAGGAGGAACACCGAUGGCGAAGGCAGGUCUCUGGGCCGGUACUGACGCUGAGACGCGAAAGCGUGGGGAGCGAACAGG